rnacentral:rRNA from 1 species
UACGUAGGGUGCGAGCGUUAAUCGGAAUUACUGGGCGUAAAGCGUGCGCAGGCGGUUCGUUGUGUCGGCGGUGAAAGCCCCGGGCUUAACCUGGGAAUGGCCGUUGAAACUGGCGAACUGGAGUGUGGCAGAGGGGGGUGGAAUUCCGCGUGUAGCAGUGAAAUGCGUAGAGAUGCGGAGGAACACCGAUGGCGAAGGCAGCCCCCUGGGUCAAAACUGACGCUCAUGCACGAAAGCGUGGGGAGCAAACAGG